GCAACAAAAAACAACCCCCCAAAACCCACAAGUUUGCAGCUGACCCAUCUUCAAGCCAUUCUUCCACUCUGCAUUUUGUUGAGGAGCAGCAGGGAGAAAGAAGAGCCUGAUCAGAGUUGUUUGAUUACAUUAUGGGAAGAACGCUUGGGGCAGGAGAGAAGAGCUAAGGAGAAGGCCCCAUUCUGCACUCUCUACCACUGCGGAGUGAAGACAAGAAGCAGCGUGAAACCCAGCCACUCCCCGGCUUUUGGAGACAAAGACCCACUACCUGCAUGAUACCUCAGAGCUGCCAUUUCCCCUCAAAAGCAGCCCCCAUCUUGCUCAGCCGACCAAUGGAAGGUGAUGACAGAUGACAUCUUAAAGCCUUUGUUCUUCAGUUUCACUGGGCUCCAUCCCUCUCUGUCCACCGCGGUAGGAUGAGGAUCAAGAGGAGAAUACUGAGGAAGUGCCACAGGCUUUCAAAGACUCCAUCUUUUCUAGAAGAGAAAUAAUUGAGGAAACUAUUUUCUGUUCCUGGCAAGAAUAGUUGACAAGAUCACAAGGAGCAAGAAACUGAGGAGAUCGAGUAAUAAGGAAUCAAUGGUGUGCUCACCACGGGACUGAUGAAAGGGAAAUAAAUGACGGCCCUGUUUUCCUUCCUUGUGAAGAGUGUGGCAGCUUCUCUGAGUCAUGACAUACACCCACAAAGGCUAAUCAACAGGCAAAAGAAAAGAAUUGGUUUGGCACUGAAUCAGAGGAAAGGAUGCCAGUUGACCUCUCUUCAGAGUCAAGGCCACCAUAUAAUUUACCUUCCAAUUAGAACUCGAAGUUGAAGUUACUGAAGCUUCUCGGUGACUGAACAUUUUCCAAACCUGAAGACAAACUGGAAAAACAAUGAAUGAGAUGACUGGAUUGCUGAAUUCAGAUACCACUGAUCGACUGAUUGAGCCUCAUUCCUGACCGGCUCUGAACUUGGGAAAGCUUUAGCUCUAAUGGACUGUGAGCUGCAAGGAGCCUGAAAUUCUACUCCCUUCGUGGCAUAGUGGGUAAAGCACAGA